GUAGUCUCGCACAGAUGCAUAUCAAUAAGCGGAGGAAAAGUAACUAACAAGGAUUCCCCUAGUAACGGCGAGUGAAGCGGGAAGAGCUCAAAUUUGAAAUCUUAAAGGGUUUCCCUUUACGAAUUGUAGUUUAAAGAAGUGUUUUCUGUUGAGGUUUUGGUAAAAGUUCUUUGGAAUAGGACAUCAUAGAGGGUGAGAAUCCCGUAUUUGACCCUUACUUUCAACUUUGUGAUACACUUUCAAAGAGUCGGAUUGUUUGGGAAUGCAGUCCAAAAUGGGUGGUAAAUUUCAUCUAAAGCUAAAUAUUGGCGAGAGACCGAUAGCGAACAAGUACCGUGAGGGAAAGAUGAAAAGAACUUUGAAAAGAGAGUUAAACAGUACGUGAAAUUGUCAAAAGGGAAGCGUUUGACACCAGUGUUGUUUUUCUGAAAAUCAAUUAAAGAACUGUUUAUGCUAAGUUGUUUAGACUUUAUCAGCUAUCUGUUUAGUUUUGAGCUUUUCUUUAAUGCACUUUUCAGUUAACAAGUCAACAUCAAUUUCUUUUGCUGUAAAAAAGCUUGAGGAAGGUGGCUUGAGAUUCGUCUUAAGUGUUUAUAGCCUCUUGCCUAUGCAGUCGGAGAGAUUGAGGUCUGCAGCGUAGAUCCUUCGGGGCUAAAUGCAUUUGUGCUAAGUUAUAGCAUUUUAUAGACAACUUGUUGACUAUGAUUUGUCUUGUAGCUUACUCGCUUAUGUUAUUUUACCUACGCUUAGGAUGUUGACGCAUGAGAUAUACGC
rnacentral:rRNA from 1 species